AGGGCAUUAGCUCAGUUAGCUAGAGCACAGGUUUAAAUCCUAUUGUCAUUGGUGCAAAUCCAAUAUGCCCUC
rnacentral:tRNA from 1 species